rnacentral:rRNA from 2 species
UUGGGGGGGCCUAACCAUGGCAAGUCGAGCGGUAGCACAAAGAGGGUUGCUUCCUGAAGCGAGGGACGGGUGCGUAAAGAAUAGGAGUCUGACUGGGAGUGGGGGAGGGGGAUCCCUUUUGAACGCUAGUACCGAAUACGUAUUACGGCAGAAAACAAGGGGGGGUCCUUCUGGGCCCUAGCGCAUGAAUAUGCGCCGAUAUGGUUAGAUCUUGAGGGAGAGGCUCACUCACGCGACGGACAAUAUCUGGCCGGGGAGAGAGAUCAUGCACACUCACUCUGACUCAGAGACAGGACCCAUACCCCUAGGAGGGGUGGGGAAUAUUGAUUGAUCACUGUGGGCCUGAUCCUGACAUGCCGCUCGCGUGUAUAAGGACAUCGGAUUGUAUAUGACUUACAGUUUCCGAGGAGGAAAGCGACCUAGUAUAAAACACCAUCGACUUAGGUUAUUCUCACAAAACAGGCGGGUAUGUCCGCGUCACCCGCGGCGCACAAAGGGGGGGGGCGUUAAUCUUCUCACUUUACUGAGUAAAACGUCGCUGGUUUGCUGUGUUGUAUGAGGUGACAUCCCCCGCCUCUCCCUGACUGCACUCCACACUGACUGACUACACUAUAGUCGAGGAUGGGGGAAUUUCCUGUGGGGUGGAGCAAUGAUUCGCUUAGAGAUGGAGCACUAUCGCUGUAGAAAACCCCCUCCCCUACAACUAAUCAUGCUCUCCUGCGACAAGGCGAGCAGACAACACUAGAUUACAUGCUGGGACACUCCGCUGUAUAUGAUAUCUACCCGUUGGAAGCGCUCAUCUUGAGAGGGUGCUGCAGAUCACAUGAGUUGACCCCCCCCGCGGAGGACACCCGCCGCGCUAGUAUUACUCUGAUUUGAUUGGGGGCGCGCCCCACACGCGGGGGAGGGUGGUGUAUUUCUAUUGCACGCGAAGAAAAUUACCUUGCUCCUUCGUUUUCCUAUGCAAAAUUCUUUAACAAAAUAUUGUUUGCGUCCCUUGAAAGAAUACUGACAGAGGCUGGCUUCGACUGGUCGUUCACAUCCGCUGCCGUG